AUGGCGAGUGGCCCUCGACGGAACCUCCCAACCAGUCUUCGCAUUCCACCCUCUACCGUCGAGUGGACCGUGACCAAAAAGUACGACAGCAUCAACACCCGCGAGAUCGAAAAGAUGGGCUCCCCUCUUGGCUCGCCAACCCUGGCGGCCUCGACGGCAAAGUUCAGGAACAAGGUGCCAGCACAGAUGCAAAGGUGUCUGCCGUUAUACAUAGGAUGCGUCUGCCUACUCCUCAUCAUCCUCAAUUUCGACGUCUUUUAUGCCAUCCCGAGUCCCCUUGAUCUCAUCUGGAGAGAGGGUGAUCAUCCCACACCGCCCAGCCGUGGCAGCUCAUUCCCACAAAAGAUUUGGCAGACAUGGAAGCUAGACCCUCUCAACUUUGAGGACCGGGAUCUCGUCACCUCACGGACGUGGGUAGCCAAGAAUCCCGGCAUGCGAUACGAGGUUUUGACAGAUGCCAACGAGAUGGCAUUCGUGGAGGAGCACUUUGGGCCCAAUGGCCUCAACCGACCAGACAUUGUCAAGUUUUACCGCAGCAUCAACCUUCACAUCAUCAAGGCUGAUCUCUUGCGGUACAUGGUCAUGUAUGCUCAAGGUGGAGUGUACGCAGACAUUGACGUCGAGGCUCUACGACCUGUGAAUCGCUUCAUCCCCGAGCGAUACGACGACAAGGAUAUCGACAUGAUUGUUGGUGUUGAGAUUGACCAACCCGAGUUCAGUGAUCAUCCAAUUCUUGGCAAAAAGUCAAAAUCCUUUUGUCAGUGGACCAUCAUCUCGAAGCCUCAUCAGCCCGUGAUGCUCAAGUUGAUUGAGAACAUCAUGGCAUGGCUCAAGAAUGUCACCAAGGAGCAAAAGGUUCCACUUGGAGAAGUCCAGCUCGACUUUGACCAGGUCAUCAGCGGUACAGGGCCCUCGGCUUUCACCAAGGCCCUACUUGAGCAGAUGAACCAAAGAAGGUCGGGUGGACCAAAGGUUACCUGGGACAUGUUCCAUAACAUGGAUGAGUCCAAGAUUGUUGGCCGCGUGCUGGUGCUCGACGUGGAAGCGUUCUGCGCCGGACAGGGACACUCUGAUUCAGGCAAUCAUGAUUCGCGUGGAGCUCUCGUCAAGCAUCACUACCAUGCAUCCAACUGGCCCAGCAAGCAUCCUCGAUACAGCCAUCCAGUGUAUGGACAGGUCGAGGACUGCAACUGGAACGCCGAGUGUGUGCGUCUCUGGGAUGAGAACGUAGCCGAGUACAACAAGUUGACGGAGGAAGAAAAGAAGACAAAGUUAGACGAGGCAAAGAAGGGUGGUGAAUAGUAA
rnacentral:lncRNA from 1 species